UUGGGCACUAGGUGUGGGGACCAUUCCACGGUUUCCGCGCCGCAGCUAACGCAUUAAGUGCCCCGCCUGGGGAGUACGGCCGCAAGGCUAAAACUCAAAGGAAUUGACGGGGGCCCGCACAAGCGGCGGAGCAUGCGGAUUAAUUCGAUGCAACGCGAAGAACCUUACCAAGGCUUGACAUGUUCUCGAUCGCCGAAACGCAUAUCGAUAGACGCAGACGACGCACUCUAGCAGACGUCCUGAGCAGCGCGCAUUACGCAGCUCACUAGGCUAGCGCAUACGUACGUGCAGCGCAGCAGCGCAGACGACGACCUCAUGGUACUGCUGUGCUGACUGACUGCAGCGACUUGCAUGCAGUCAUGCAUCGAUGCAGUAUGACUUGACUACGUAGAGAUACGGUUUCCCCUUUGGGGCGGGUUCACAGGUGGUGCAUGGUUGUCGUCAGCUCGUGUCGUGAGAUGUUGGGUUAAGUCCCGCAACGAGCGCAACCCUCGUUCCAUGUUGCCAGCACGUCAUGGUGGGGACUCAUGGGAGACUGCCGGGGUCAACUCGGAGGAAGGUGAGGACGACGUCAAAUCAUCAUGCCCCUUAUGUCUUGGGCUUCACGCAUGCUAGGGGGCCCGGAUGAGACGAUAGGACGCAGUACGACGCAGUAGCAGCAUAGCAGCAUAAGCCAGGCAGCAGCAGCGACUACGACUACGUAGCUAUAUGACUUAUAUGUUGUGGCGGCGCGCGCGAGUAGGAGCGCGCGCGGCGGUAGCAGAGUAUAGCGCCCCCCGGCGAGGCGCGGGACUAUGAGGACGAUAGGCGCGAUACGACUAGAUAGUACGAACAAUGGCCGG
rnacentral:rRNA from 2 species